rnacentral:rRNA from 1 species
GAUGAACGCUGACAGAAUGCUUAACACAUGCAAGUCUUUGGCGAAGCUGUGCUUGCACCGCCUAGCCAAGGCGGACGGGUGAGUAACGCGUAAGGAACUUGCCCUGCAGUCAGGGAUAACAGACGGAAACGACUGAUAAGACCUGGUAAAGUCAGGCGGACUCAUGUCCAGCCUGAUGAAAAGAGAUGCUGCAGGAGAGCCUUGCGUCCUAUUAGCUUGUUGGUGGGGUAACGGCCCACCAAGGCGAUGAUAGGUAGCCGGCCUGAGAGGGUGGACGGCCACAAGGGGACUGAGAUACGGCCCUUACUCCUACGGGAGGCAGCAGUGGAGAAUAUUGGACAAUGGGGGCAACCCUGAUCCAGCAAUUCUGUGUGCACGAUGAAGGUUUUCGGAUUGUAAAGUGCUUUCAGCAGGGAAGAAAAAAAUGACGGUACCUGCAGAAGAAGCGACGGCUAAAUACGUG